GAUGAACGCUGGCGGCGUGCCUAAUACAUGCAAGUCGAGCGAACGGACGAGAAGCUUGCUUCUCUGAUGUUAGCGGCGGACGGGUGAGUAACACGUGGAUAACCUACCUAUAAGACUGGGAUAACUUCGGGAAACCGGAGCUAAUACCGGAUAAUAUUUUGAACCGCAUGGUUCAAAAGUGAAAGACGGUCUUGCUGUCACUUAUAGAUGGAUCCGCGCUGCAUUAGCUAGUUGGUAAGGUAACGGCUUACCAAGGCAACGAUGCAUAGCCGACCUGAGAGGGUGAUCGGCCACACUGGAACUGAGACACGGUCCAGACUCCUACGGGAGGCAGCAGUAGGGAAUCUUCCGCAAUGGGCGAAAGCCUGACGGAGCAACGCCGCGUGAGUGAUGAAGGUCUUCGGGUCGUAAAACUCUGUUAUUAGGGAAGAACAUAUGUGUAAGUAACUGUGCACAUCUUGACGGUACCUAAUCAGAAAGCCACGGCUAACUACGUGCCAGCAGCCGCGGGUAUACGUANGUGGGCAGCGUUAUCCGGAAUUAUUGGGCGUAAAGCGCGCGUAGCGGUUUUUUAAGUCUGAUGUGAAAGCCCACGGCUCACCGGUGGAGGGUCAUUGGAAACUGGAAAACUUGAGUGCAGAAGAGGAAAGUGGAAUUCCAUGUGCAGCGGUGAAAUGCGCAGAGAUAUGGAGGAACACCAGUGGCGAAGGCGACUUUCUGGUCUGUAACUGACGCUGAUGUGCGAAAGCGUGGGGAUCAAACAGGAUUAGAUACCCUGGUAGUCCACGCCGUAAACGAUGAGUGCUAAGUGUUAGGGGGUUUCCGCCCCUUAGUGCUGCAGCUAACGCAUUAAGCACUCCGCCUGGGGAGUACGACCGCAAGGUUGAAACUCAAAGGAAUUGACGGGGACCCGCACAAGCGGUGGAGCAUGUGGUUUAAUUCGAAGCAACGCGAAGAACCUUACCAAAUCUUGACAUCCUUUGACAACUCUAGAGAUAGAGCCUUCCCCUUCGGGGGACAAAGUGACAGGUGGUGCAUGGUUGUCGUCAGCUCGUGUCGUGAGAUGUUGGGUUAAGUCCCGCAACGAGCGCAACCCUUAAGCUUAGUUGCCAUCAUUAAGUUGGGCACUCUAAGUUGACUGCCGGUGACAAACCGGAGGAAGGUGGGGAUGACGUCAAAUCAUCAUGCCCCUUAUGAUUUGGGCUACACACGUGCUACAAUGGACAAUACAAAGGGCAGCGAAACCGCGAGGUCAAGCAAAUCCCAUAAAGUUGUUCUCAGUUCGGAUUGUAGUCUGCAACUCGACUACAUGAAGCUGGAAUCGCUAGUAAUCGUAGAUCAGCAUGCUACGGUGAAUACGUUCCCGGGUCU
rnacentral:rRNA from 1 species